rnacentral:rRNA from 1 species
AGUGAACGCUGGCGGUAGGCCUAACACAUGCAAGUCGAACGGCAGCACAGUAAGAGCUUGCUCUUACGGGUGGCGACUGGCGGACGGGUGAGGAAUACAUCGGAAUCUACUUUUUCGUGGGGGAUAACGUAGGGAAACUUACGCUAAUACCGCAUACGACCUACGGGUGAAAGCAGGGGAUCUUCGGACCUUGCGCGAUUGAAUGAGCCGAUGUCGGAUUAGCUAGUUGGCGGGGUAAAGGCCCACCAAGGCGACGAUCGGUAGCUGGUCUGAGAGGAUGAUCAGCCACACUGGAACUGAGACACGGUCCAGACUCCUACGGGAGGCAGCAGUGGGGAAUAUUGGACAAUGGGCGCAAGCCUGAUCCAGCCAUACCGCGUGGGUGAAGAAGGCCUUCGGGUUGUAAAGCCCUUUUGUUGGGAAAGAAAAGCAGCAGGUUAAUACCCCGCUGUUCUGACGGUACCCAAAGAAUAAGCACCGGCUAACUUCGUG